GAUGAACGCUGGCGGCGUGCCUAAUACAUGCAAGUCGAGCGAACAGAUGAGGAGCUUGCUCCUCUGACGUUAGCGGCGGACGGGUGAGUAACACGUGGAUAACCUACCUAUAAGACUGGGAUAACUUCGGGAAACCGGAGCUAAUACCGGGUAAUAUAUUGAACCGCAUGGUUCAAUAGUGAAAGACGGUUUUGCUGUCACUUAUAGAUGGAUCCGCGCCGCAUUAGCUAGUUGGUAAGGUAACGGCUUACCAAGGCAACGAUGCGUAGCCGACCUGAGAGGGUGGUCGGCCACACUGGAACUGAGACACGGUCCAGACUCCUACGGGAGGCAGCAGUAGGGAAUCUUCCGCAAUGGGCGAAAGCCUGACGGAGCAACGCCGCGUGAGUGAUGAAGGUCUUCGGAUCGUAAAACUCUGUUAUUAGGGAAGAACAAAUGUGUAAGUAACUAUGCACGUCUUGACGGUACCCAAUCAGAAAGCCACGGCUAACUACGUG
rnacentral:rRNA from 1 species